GAUGAACGCUGGCGGCGUGCCUAAUAUAUGCAAGUCGAGCGAACGGACGAGAAGCUUGCUUUUCUGAUGUUAGCGGCGGACGGGUGAGUAACACGUGGAUAACCUACCUAUAAGACUGGGAUAACUUCGGGAAACCGGAGCUAAUACCGGAUAAUAUUUUGAACCGCAUGGUUCAAAAGUGAAAGACGGUCUUGCUGUCACUUAUAGAUGGAUCCGCGCUGCAUUAGCUAGUUGGUAAGGUAACGGCUUACCAAGGCAACGAUGCAUAGCCGACCUGAGAGGGUGAUCGGCCACACUGGAACUGAGACACGGUCCAGACUCCUACGGGAGGCAGCAGUAGGGAAUCUUCCGCAAUGGGCGAAAGCCUGACGGAGCAACGCCGCGUGAGUGAUGAAGGUCUUCGGAUCGUAAAACUCUGUUAUUAGGGAAGAACAUAUGUGUAAGUAACUGUGCACAUCUUGACGGUACCUAAUCAGAAAGCCACGGCUAACUACGU
rnacentral:rRNA from 1 species